AUACGGAGGAUCCGAGCGUUAUCCGGAUUUAUUGGGUUUAAAGGGUGCGCAGGCGGCCAUUUAAGUCAGCGGUUAAAUCGUGGGGCUCAACCCCAUUCUGCCGUUGAUACUGGGUGGCUUGAUUGCGGUCGAGGUUGGCGGACUUCGUUGUGUAGCGGUGAAAUGCAUAGAUAUGACGAAGAACACCGAUUGCGUAGGCAGCUGACCAGACCGCAAAUGACGCUCAUGCACGAAAGUACGGGGAUCGAACAGGAUUAGAUACCCUGGUAGUCCGCACAGUAAACGAUGAAUACUUGUUUUCGGCGAUAUAAUGUCGGAGGCAAAGCGAAAGCGAUAAGUAUUCCACCUGGGGAGUACGCCGGCAACGGUGAAACUCAAAGGAAUUGACGGGG
rnacentral:rRNA from 1 species